GAUGAAGAACGCAGCAAAAUGCGAUAAGUAAUGUGAAUUGCAGAAUUCAGUGAAUCAUCGAAUCUUUGAACGCACAUUGCGCCCGCCAGUAUUCUGGCGGGCAUGCCUGUUCGAGCGUCAUUUCAACCCUCAAGCCCUCGGGUUUGGUGUUGGGGAUCGGCGAGCCUUUCUGGCAAGCCAGCCCCGAAAUCUAGUGGCGGUCUCGCUGCAGCCUCCAUUGCGUAGUAGUAAAACCCUCGCAACUGGAACGCGGCGCGGCCAAGCCGUUAAACCCCCAACUUCUGAAUGUUGACCUCGGAUCAGGUAGGAAUACCCGCUGAACUUAAGCAUAUCAAUAAGCGGAGGA
rnacentral:misc_RNA from 1 species